rnacentral:rRNA from 1 species
UACGUAGGGUGCAAGCGUUAAUCGGAAUUACUGGGCGUAAAGCGCGCGUAGGCGGCCCCGUAAGUCCGCUGUGAAAGUCAAAGGCUCAACCUUUGAAAGCCGGUGGAUACUGUGGGGCUAGAGUCCGGAAGAGGCGAGUGGAAUUCCUGGUGUAGCGGUGGAAUGCGCAGAUAUCGGGAGGAACACCGGUGGCGAAGGCGGUUCUCUGGGCCUGUACUGACGCUGAGGAGCGAAAGCGUGGGGAGCGAACAGG